rnacentral:rRNA from 1 species
UGGGGAAUCUUGGACAAUGGGGGCAACCCUGAUCCAGCCAUGCCGCGUGAGUGAUGAAGGCCUUAGGGUCGUAAAGCUCUUUCGCCUGUGAAGAUAAUGACGGUAGCAGGUAAAGAAACCCCGGCUAACUCCGUGCCAGCAGCCGCGGUAAUACGGAGGGGGUUAGCGUUGUUCGGAAUUACUGGGCGUAAAGCGCACGUAGGCGGACCAGAAAGUUGGGGGUGAAAUCCCGGGGGCUCAACCCCGGAACUGCCUCCAAAACUAUUGGUCUAGAGUUCGAGAGAGGUGAGUGGAAUUCCAAGUGUAGAGGUGAAAUUCGUAGAUAUUUGGAGGAACACCAGUGGCGAAGGCGGCUCACUGGCUCGAUACUGACGCUGAGGUGCGAAAGUGUGGGGAGCAAACAGGAUUAGAUACCCUGGGUAGUCCACACCGUAAAACGAUGAAUGCCAGUCGUCGGGUAGCAUGCUAUUCGGUGACA